rnacentral:misc_RNA from 2 species
AAACCUCAACCUCCUUGGUUUCUUCUGGAGACCAAAGCAGGCUUGGACUUUGGAGGCCUUUUUGCUGGUGCCUCUCUCUUUUGAAGUGCCAGCUCCUCUUAAACAAAUUAGCAGGGUCCUCUUUGCUGAUCCUCGACGUGUGAUAAGAUGUUUCCAUGUCUUGGUUUCUGGCUCUGUCACCUUUUGGGACCCGCUUCUAACCGUCUGGACCUUGUGUCGAGACAAUGUUCGAGCAAUGAUGUCUCCCUUCUCGGGAAGCUCCCUCGACCCCACGAAC